UGGGGAAUAUUGCACAAUGGACGGAAGUUUGAUGCAGCGACGCCGCGUGGAGGGUGUAGGCCUUCGGGUUGUGAACUCCUUUUUCUCGCGAAAAAGGCACAGUUUUGGCUGUGUUGAUGGUAGUGGGGGAAGAAGCGCCGGCUAACUACGUGCCAGCAGCCGCGGUAAUACGUAGGGCGCGAGCGUUGUCCGGAUUUAUUGGGCGUAAAGAGCUCGUAGGUGGUUCGUCGCGUCUGUCGUGAAAGCCAGCAGCUUAACUGUUGGUCUGCGGUGGGUACGGGGGGGCUUGAGUGCGGGAGGGGUGACUGGAAUUCCUGGUGUAGAGGUGGAAUGCGCAGAUAUCAGGAGGAACACCGAUGGAGAAGGCAGGUCACUGGGCCGUUACUGACACUGAGGAGCGAAAGCGUGGGGAGCGAACAGG
rnacentral:rRNA from 1 species